GAUGAACGCUGGCGGCAUGCCUAAUACAUGCAAGUCGAACGGGGGUGCUUGCACCCCAGUGGCGAACGGGUGAGUAACACGUAUCUAAUCUACCUUUUAGAGGGGGACAACAGUUGGAAACGACUGCUAAUACCGCGUAUGACAUUAUUAUCGCAUGAGAAAAUGUUGAAAGGUGCGUUUGCACCGCUAAAAGAUGAGGAUGCGGCGUAUUAGCUAGUAGGUGGGGUAAUGGCCCACCUAGGCAAUGAUACGUAGCCGAACUGAGAGGUUGAUCGGCCACAUUGGGACUGAGAUACGGCCCAGACUCCUACGGGAGGCAGCAGUAGGGAAUUUUUCACAAUGGACGAAAGUCUGAUGAAGCAAUGCCGCGUGAGUGGUGACGGUCUUAGGAUUGUAAAGCUCUGUUGUAAAGGAAGAAAAUGCAGAAUAGGAAAUGAUUUUGCACUGACGGUACUUUACCAGAAAGCCACGGCUAACUAUGUGCCAGCAGCCGCGGUAAUACAUAGGUGGCAAGCGUUAUCCGGAUUUAUUGGGCGUAUAGGGUGCGUAGCCGGUAUUAUAAGUCUGAGGUUAAAGGCUGGAGCUCAACUCCAGUUCGCCUUGGAAACUGUUUUACUAGAGUACGGAAGAGAUAGAUGGAAUUCCAUGUGUAGCGGUGAAAUGCGUAGAGAUUUGGAGGAACACCAGUGGCGAAGGCGGCUUUCUGGACUGUAACUGACGCUGAGGCGCGAAAGCGUGGGGAGCCAAACAGGAUUAGAUACCCUGGUAGUCCACGCUGUAAAACGAUGGAUGCUAGGUGUGGGAGGUAUCGACCCCUUUCCGUGCCGGAGUAAACACAAAUAAAGCAUCCCGCCUGGGGGAGUACGGCCGCAAGGUUGAAACUCAAAGGAAUUGACGGGGGCCCGCACAAGCAGCGGAGCAUGUGGAUUAAUUCGACGCAACGCGAAGAACCUUACCAGGUCUUGACAUCCCUUGAAGUAUGGUGAAAGCCAUACGUCCUUCGGGACAAGGAGACAGGUGGUGCAUGGUUGUCGUCAGCUCGUGUCGUGAGAUGUUGGGUUAAGUCCCGCAACGAGCGCAACCCUUAUUUUCAGUUACUAACGGGUAAAGCCGAGGACUCUGGAGAGACUGCCGUGGACAACACGGAGGAAGGUGGGGACGACGUCAAAUCAUCAUGCCCCUUAUGACCUGGGCUUCACACGUGCUACAAUGGCCGCAACAAAGAGGUGCGAAGCAGCAAUGCGGAGCGGAUCUCAAAAAAGCGGUCCCAGUUCGGAUCGUGGGCUGCAACCCGCCCACGUGAAGUCGGAGUUGCUAGUAAUCGCGGAUCAGCAUGCCGCGGUGAAUACGUUCCCGGGCCUUGUACACACCGCCCGUCACACCAUGGGAGUUGAGAGCGCCCAAAGUCAGUGAGGCAACCGCAAGGAGCCAGCUGCCUAAGGUGAGCUCGAUGACUGGGGUG
rnacentral:rRNA from 1 species